AGAGUUUGAUCCUGGCUCAGAACGAACGCUGGCGGCAUGCCUAACACAUGCAAGUCGAACGAGACCUUCGGGUCUAGUGGCGCACGGGUGCGUAACGCGUGGGAAUCUGCCCUGGGGUGCGGAAUAACUCGGAGAAAUCCGUGCUAAUACCGCAUAAUGUCUUCGGACCAAAGAUUUAUCGCCCUGGGAUGAGCCCGCGUAGGAUUAGCUAGUUGGUGGGGUAAAAGGCCUACCAAGGCGACGAUCCUUAGCUGGUCUGAGAGGAUGAUCAGCCACACUGGGACUGAGACACGGCCCAGACUCCUACGGGAGGCAGCAGUGGGAAUAUUGGACAAUGGGCGAAAGCCUGAUCCAGCAAUGCCGCGUGAGUGAUGAAGGCCCUAGGGUUGUAAAGCUCUUUACCCGGGAUGAUAAUGACAGUACCGGGAGAAUAAGCUCCGGCUAACUCCGUG
rnacentral:rRNA from 1 species